rnacentral:rRNA from 1 species
UACAGAGGGGGCAAGCGUUGUUCGGAAUUACUGGGCGUAAAGGGCGCGUAGGCGGCCUGCUAAGUCGAACGGGAAAUCCCCGGGCUCAACCCGGGAACUGCGUCCGAUACUGGUUGGCUUGAAUCCGGGAGAGGGAUGCGGAAUUCCAGGUGUAGCGGUGAAAUGCGUAGAUAUCUGGAGGAACACCGGUGGCGAAGGCGGCAUCCUGGACCGGCAUUGACGCUGAGGCGCGAAGGCCAGGGGAGCAAACGGG